rnacentral:rRNA from 1 species
UACGGAGGGUGCAAGCGUUGUCCGGAAUCACUGGGCGUAAAGGGCGCGUAGGCGGCUCAUGAAGGCUGUGGUGAAAGUCCGGGGCUCAACCUCGGAUCGGCCGUGGCGACUCGUGGGCUGGAGCACUGUAGAGGCGGGUGGAAUUCCGGGUGUAGCGGUGGAAUGCGUAGAGAUCCGGAAGAACACCAGUGGCGAAGGCGGCCCGCUGGGCAGUGCUGACGCUGAGGCGCGACAGCGUGGGGAGCAAACAGG